rnacentral:rRNA from 1 species
CGCGGCCUAUCAGCUUGUUGGUGAGGUAACGGCUCACCAAGGCGACGACGGGUAGCCGGCCUGAGAGGGUGACCGGCCACACUGGGACUGAGACACGGCCCAGACUCCUACGGGAGGCAGCAGUGGGGAAUAUUGCACAAUGGGCGCAAGCCUGAUGCAGCGACGCCGCGUGAGGGAUGACGGCCUUCGGGUUGUAAACCUCUGUUAGCAGGGAAGAAGAGAGAUUGACGGUACCUGCAGAGAAAGCGCCGGCUAACUACGUGCCAGCAGCCGCGGUAAUACGUAGGGCGCGAGCGUUGUCCGGAAUUAUUGGGCGUAAAGAGCUUGUAGGCGGUUUGUCGCGUCUGCUGUGAAAGGCCGGAGCUUAACUCCGUGUAUUGCAGUGGGUACGGGCAGACUAGAGUGCAGUAGGGGAGACUGGAAUUCCUGGUGUAGCGGUGGAAUGCGCAGAUAUCAGGAGGAACACCGAUGGCGAAGGCAGGUCUCUGGGCUGUAACUGACGCUGAGAAGCGAAAGCAUGGGGAGCGAACAGGAUUAGAUACCCUGGUAGUCCAUGCCGUAAACGUUGGGCACUAGGUGUGGGGGACAUUCCACGUUUUCCGCGCCGUAGCUAACGCAUUAAGUGCCCCGCCUGGGGAGUACGG